rnacentral:rRNA from 1 species
GACCAAGGAGUCUAACAUGUGCGCAAGUCAUUGGAAUUAUGAAAACCUAAAGGCGUAAUUAACGUAACUUAUAUAUGGGAUUACAAAUAAUUUUAUAAUUAAAUUAUUUUUUCAUCUCAGGGCGUUUCAUAUUGGACAUGUUAGCAUUUUAAAUGUUUGACCUCUGUCCAGAAGCGUACCUUGAGCGUACAUGCUGUGACCCGAAAGAUGGUGAACUAUACCUGAUCAGGUUAAAGUCAGGGGAAACCCUGAUGGAAGAUUGAAGCAGUUCUGACGUGCAAAUCGAUUGUCAGAAUUGGGUAUAGGGGCGAAAGACCAAUCGAACCAUCUAGUAGCUGGUUCCCUCCGAAGUUUCCCUCAGGAUAGCUGGUGCAAUUAAAUGAUUACAUAUGUAAUCUUAUCUGGUAAAGCGAAUGAUUAGAGGCCUUGGGGCCGAAACGACCUCAACCUAUUCUCAAACUUUAAAUGGGUAAGAACCUUGUCUUUCUUGAUCUGAAGACAUUUAGGUUUCGAUAUAUUGUGCCCAGUGGGCCACUUUUGGUAAGCAGAACUGGCGCUGUGGGAUGAACCAAACGUGAUGUUAAGGCGCCAAAAUUAACGACUCAUAUUGAUACCAUGAAAGGCGUUGGUUGCUUAAAACAGCAGGACGGUGGACAUGGAAGUCGUAAUCCGCUAAGGAGUGUGUAACAACUCACCUGCCGAAGCAACUAGCCCUUAAAAUGGAUGGCGCUUAAGUCGUAUGCCUAUACAUCACCGCUAUAGUAAUUAUUAUAUACAUUUAUGGUGUAUAUAUUUUAAAACUAUAGUGAGUAGGAGGGUACAAUGAUAUGCGUCGAAGUACUUGGCGUAAGCCUGUAUGGAGCUAUCAUUGGCACAGAUCUUGGUGGUAGUAGCAAAU